rnacentral:rRNA from 1 species
CAUGCCUACGGGAGGCAGCAGUCGGGAAUAUUGCGCAAUGGAGGAAACUCUGACGCAGUGACGCCGCGUAUAGGAAGAAGGUUUUCGGAUUGUAAACUAUUGUCGUUAGGGAAGAUAAAAGACUGUACCUAAGGAGGAAGCCCCGGCUAACUAUGUGCCAGCAGCCGCGGUAAUACAUAGGGGGCAAGCGUUAUCCGGAAUCACUGGGUGUAAAGGGAGCGUAGACGGCUGUGCAAGCCUGAAGUGAAAGGCGGGGGCCCAACCCCUGGACUGCUUUGGGAACUGUACGGCUGGAGUGCAGGAGG